CCCCCCCCCCCCCCCCCCCCCCCCCCCCCCCCCCCCCCCCCCCCCCCCCCCCCCCCCCCCCCCCCCCCUGCUGCUCAGGUGAGUCCAGGUGACCCCAAAAAACCCAAAAAUCCCAAAAAACCCAAAAAUCCACCCCAAAAACACACCUGGGCCAGGUGCUGCUGCUCAGGUAACCCCAAAAAAUCCAAAAAACCCAAAAAACCCAAAAAUCCACCCCAAAAACACACCUGGGCCAGGUGCUGCUGCUCAGGUGAGUCCAGGUGACCCCAAAAAACCCAAAAAUCCCAAAAAACCCAAAAAUCCACCCCAAAAACACACCUGGGCCAGGUGCUGCUGCUCAGGUGAGUCCAGGUAACCCCAAAAAACCCCAAAAAACCCAAAAAUCCGCCCCAAAAACACACCUGAGCCAGGUGCUGCUGCUCAGGUGAGUCCAGGUGACCCCAAACCCCUCCCAGGUGACCUCAGGUGUGUCCCAGGUGUGUCCAGGUACCCCCAG
rnacentral:lncRNA from 12 species